rnacentral:rRNA from 1 species
AGAGUUUGAUCCUGGCUCAGGAUGAACGCUGGCGGCGUGCUUAACACAUGCAAGUCGAACGAGAGAAGAUCGGUGCUUGCACUGAUCCGAUCGAGUGGCGGACGGGUGAGUAACGCGUGGGUAACCUGCCUCAUACAGGGGAAUAACAGUUGGAAACGGCUGCUAAAACCGCAUAAGCGCACGGUAUCGCAUGAUACAGUGUGAAAAACUCCGGUGGUAUGAGAUGGACCCGCGUCUGAUUAGCUAGUUGGUGAGGUAACGGCCCACCAAGGCAACGAUCAGUAGCCGGCCUGAGAGGGUGAACGGCCACAUUGGGACUGAGACACGGCCCAAACUCCUACGGGAGGCAGCAGUGGGGAAUAUUGCACAAUGGGGGAAACCCUGAUGCGGCGACGCCGCGUGAGUGAUGAAGUAUUUCGGUAUGUAAAGCUCUAUCAGCAGGGAAGAUAAUGACGGUACCUGACUAAGAAGCACCGGCUAAAUACGUGCCAGCAGCCGCGGUAAUACGUAUGGUGCAAGCGUUAUCCGGAUUUACUGGGUGUAAAGGGUGCGUAGGUGGUGAGACAAGUCUGAAGUGAAAAUCCGGGGCUUAACCCCGGAACUGCUUUGGAUACUGUCGGGCUUGAGUGCAGGAGAGGUUAGUGGAAUUCCCAGUGUAGCGGUGAAAUGCGUAGAGAUUGGGAGGAACACCAGUGGCGAAGGCGACUAACUGGACUGUAACUGACGCUGAGGCGCGAAAGUGUGGGGAGCAAACAGGAUUAGAUACCCUGGUAGUCCACACUGUAAACGAUGAAUGCUAGGUGUAGGGGGUAUCGACCCCUUCUGUGCCGCAGUCAACACAAUAAGCAUUCCGCCUGGGGAGUACGGCCGCAAGGUUGAAACUCAAAGGAAUUGACGGGGGCCCGCACAAGCAGCGGAGCAUGUGGUUUAAUUCGACGCAACGCGAAGAACCUUACCAGGUCUUGACAUCCACUUAAACUUACAGAGAUGUAAGGUGUGCUUGCACAAAGUGAGACAGGUGGUGCAUGGUUGUCGUCAGCUCGUGUCGUGAGAUGUUGGGUUAAGUCCCGCAACGAGCGCAACCCUUAUCUUCAGUUACUAACGCGUGAGGGUGAGGACUCUGAAGAGACUGCCGGGGACAACUCGGAGGAAGGUGGGGACGACGUCAAAUCAUCAUGCCCCUUAUGACCUGGGCUACACACGUGCUACAAUGGCCACGACAGAGAGAAGCGAAAUCGCAAGGUAGAGCGGAACUCAAAAAAGUGGUCCCAGUUCGGAUUGUGGGCUGCAACCCGCCCACAUGAAGUCGGAGUUGCUAGUAAUCGCGGAUCAGCAUGCCGCGGUGAAUACGUUCCCGGGCCUUGCACACACCGCCCGUCA